rnacentral:rRNA from 1 species
CCUACGGGUGGCAGCAGUGAGGAAUAUUGGUCAAUGGACGAGAGUCUGAACCAGCCAAGUAGCGUGAAGGAUGACUGCCCUAUGGGUUGUAAACCUCUUUUAUAAAGGAAUAAAACGAGGCACGUGUGCCUUUUUGCAUGUACUUUAUGAAUAAGGAUCGGCUAACUCCGUGCCAGCAGCCGCGGUAAUACGGAGGAUCCGAGCGUUAUCCGGAUUUAUUGGGUUUAAAGGGAGCGUAGAUGGGUUGUUAAGUCAGUUGGGAAAGUUUGCGGCUCAAACGUAAAAUUGCAAUUGAUACUGGCAGUCUUGAGUGCAGUUGAGGUAUGCGGAAUGCGUGGUGUAGCGGUGAAAUGCUUAGAUAUCACGAAGAACCCCGAUUGCGAAGGCAGCUUACUAAACUGUGACUGACAUUGAUGCUCGAAAGUGUGGGUAUCAAACAGGAUUAGAUACCCCUGUAGUC